rnacentral:rRNA from 1 species
UGAGUACGAGCGGCUACGGCCGCGAAGUGGAUGAUGUCAAGCUUCCAAGAAAAGCCCUAUACCCGUUAAGGCAUGAUGGCCUGUACCCGAAACCGACACAGGUGGGGUGGUAGAGAAUACCGAGGGGCGCGAGGUAACUCUCUCUAAGGAACUCGGCAAAAUGGCCCCGUAACUUCGGGAGAAGGGGUGCCACCGCGAGGUGGUCGCAGUGAAGAGGCCCAGGCGACUGUUUACCAAAAACACAGGUCUCCGCUAAGUCGCAAGACGAUGUAUGGGGGCUGACGCCUGCCCAGUGCCGGAAGGUUAAGGAAGCUGGUCAGCGCAAGCGAAGCUGGCGACUGAAGCCCCGGUGAACGGCGGCCGUAACUAUAACGGUCCUAAGGUAGCGAAAUUCCUUGUCGGGUAAGUUCCGACCCGCACGAAAGGCGUAACGAUCUGGGCGCUGUCUCGGAGAGAGGCUCGGCGAAAUAGAAUUGUCUGUGAAGAUGCGGACUACGUGCACCCGGACAGAAAGACCCUAUGAAGCUUUACUGUAGCUUGGUAUUGUGCUCGGGCUCGGAAUGCGCAGGAUAGGUGGGAGGCUUUGAUCCAUUGCUUGCGGGUGAUGGUGAGCCACUGGUGAGAUACCACUCUUUCCGAGCUAGAGUUCUAACAGCAACCCGUUAUCCGGGUGCUGGACAGUAUCAGGUGGGCAGUUUGACUGGGGCGGUCGCCUCCUAAAAGGUAACGGAGGCGCGCAAAGGUCUGCUCAGGCUGGUUGGAAAUCAGCCGACGAGUGUAAAAGCAGAAGCAGGCUUGACUGUGAGACCUACAAGUCGAACAGGGAGGAAACUCGGCUUUAGUGAUCCGACGGUUCUGCGUGGAAGGGCCGUCGCUCAACGGAUAAAAGUUACUCUAGGAUAACAGGCUGAUCUCCCCCAAGAGUUCACAUCGACGGGGAGGUUUGGCACCUCGAUGUCGGCUCAUCGCAACCUGGGGCUGAAGUCGGUCCCAAGGGUUGGGCUGUUCGCCCAUUAAAGCGGUACGCGAGCUGGGUUCAGAACGUCGUGAGACAGUUCGGUCCAUAUCCGGUGCACGCGCAGGAAUAUUGAGAGGAUUUCUCCCUAGUACGAGAGGACCGGGAGGAACGCACCUCUGGUGUGCCAGUUAUCGUGCCAACGGUAAACGCUGGGUAGCCAUGUGCGGAGUGGAUAACCGCUGAAAGCAUCUAAGUGGGAAGCCCACCUCAAGAUGAGUAUUCCCAUGGCAUAAGCCAGUAAGGUCACGGGAAGAACACCCGUUGAUAGGCUCUACGUGGAAGCGCAGUAAUGUGUGAAGCGGAGGAGUACUAAUAGACC